GGGGAAGGCGGGGGACCCGGGACGUCCAAGUGUGGCUAACCGGCGUUGCCUCAAGCGGAGUCACCGUAGAACAAGACGCAGGACAGGAAGUAAUUUUCGAAGCUUGCAACCAUCAGGGAAAGCCAAGAGACUCUGAGAGAAGCCAACUAUUGAGCUUCUGAAUUAACCCUUCCUGGAUCCACCUACCUCAUGACUUCUUGAUGUGUCCCUCCUGUUUAACGCACUGUUGUUACUUCCAUUGGUAUUCUUUGCAACAUUAACUAAGAAGAAAAAUAAAAGCAAAUGAGGU